GGUUCUGUGGUCUAGCGGUAUGAUUCUCGCUUAGGGUGCGAGAGGUCCCGGGUUCAAACCCCGGCAGAGCCC
rnacentral:tRNA from 1 species